rnacentral:rRNA from 1 species
GAUGAACGCUGGCGGCGUGCCUAAUACAUGCAAGUCGAGCGAACAGACGAGGAGCUUGCUCCUCUGACGUUAGCGGCGGACGGGUGAGUAACACGUGGAUAACCUACCUAUAAGACUGGGAUAACUUCGGGAAACCGGAGAUAAUACCGGAUAAUAUAUUGAACCGCAUGGUUCAAUAGUGAAAGACGGUUUUGCUGUCACUUAUAGAUGGAUCCGCGCCGCAUUAGCUAGUUGGUAAGGUAACGGCUUACCAAGGCAACGAGGCGUAGCCGACCUGAGAGGGUGAUCGGCCACACUGGAACUGAGACACGGUCCAGACUCCUACGGGAGGCAGCAGUAGGGAAUCUUCCGCAAUGGGCGAAAGCCUGACGGAGCAACGCCGCGUGAGUGAUGAAGGUCUUCGGAUCGUGAAACUCUGUUAUUAGGGAAGAACAAAUGUGUAAGUAACUAUGCACGUCUUGACGGUACCUAAUCAGAAAGCCACGGCUAACUACGUG